rnacentral:misc_RNA from 1 species
UUGCGCAUGCGUCGGCAUACAUUCGCUAGUCGGCAUUUUAGAGUACUCGCUUGUAUCGAUUUUUCAAGUUAGACCCAAAUCGAUUCCAUAGAAGUAAUCCUAAGCAGUCUCGGAGUUAGUUUAUUUGGCUUUUUACCGAGUGCACUCGCAAUCCCUUUCCCAAUUAACGAAUAGGAUCACUAAUGGUUUUGUUGGGUUAGGUUAGGUUCCCGUAGCCGAGUGCACUCGCUAAUGGUCUUUGGAAUUGCUUUGGGUUCUCUAUAACAAAACACGAAUGGCGACCACUCUCGUAAAUGGAAUGCCUGGAAUGUCGACAAGCAAUUGACUUCGCUAACCAAAAAGAGGGAUUCCCUAGUUAAUUGACUUUAGCUAACUCAGAAAAGAAAUCAAACCCACCUGGAGCAGGUAAUUCAUCUUGCUGAAGGCCAAAGCGGGAAUAAGCAUCGAUGUUUUCUCAACUCUGCAAUGUUUGUCUAUUGUGCUCGCUCUGCAUGACAUGUACAGUUGAACUUGUUGCUUUGGGGAAAAGAGUGAAGGAUUAUUUCCACCUAGUAACCAUCAUGUGUGGUCGUGGGAAUCCCCGCGAUUUUUGUCCAAACGCCAGCUGCCGUUGGAAAACAUUCUGCAUAAUAGCGUGCCUUUAGUAUUUUUUUUUGUCUGAAAACGACGAAAUACCUUGGGCGUUCCAUAUGAAUAACGGUUAUUCAACGUUUAACUCUGAGAGAGAAAGGGUUAUCUCUGAAUUAAUAUCGAAAUUCGCCGAGUCACGCAUUUGGGUUAAAUAUCCUCUGUUAAUUAAAUCCUAACGAAAAUCUAUUUUUGAUUUGAACUUUCAGUCUAUUUUAUUUCCCAAACAUCACCAAAAAUCCGUGUUCCGUUAGGUUACCUUGGAAUGUUAUUUUUUUUUGUUAACACUUCCUUAUCAACUUUUUUGGAAGGUUUCCAUGACCAGUAUUCAAGAAUGGUUGUUUUCUUAGUUGAAGCAGGCGGAGUGUUAUGUUUCUUGGGUCAUUGUAGACUUAGAAAUGCCAAAUACAGUAUAGUCUCCUUUUAUCCAAGUUGGAACCUGUUAUAUUUUGACAGUUGGGAGAGUCCACUCCAAAAACAUGAAGUAGAUUGUUUGAAAGCAUUCACACGAAAAAGAGCAUCUGUCGACUACGGUACUACCAACAUGCUUCCGCUAAGAGAGUUAAGCAUCGCCCUGACGUCGCUGAUUUCAUGGAUUAUGUUCAACGAUACACCUAGCGAUCCUGUAGGAUAUGCCCGCGACACAUCGGUCAUACGUGCCGAAUAUGAUUUUAUUAUCAUUGGCGCUGGAGCUGCCGGCGCUGUAAUUGCUAAUCGCCUAAGUGAAGUGGCCGAUUGGAAUAUUUUAUUGCUGGAAGCGGGAGGAGAUGAGACUAUACUUGGACAAAUACCACUCUUCGCUGCUAGCUUGCAAUUGACGAAUAUGGAUUGGCAGUACAAAACAGAGCCUCAGGACAAUGCUUGCCAAGGAUAUGCUAAUCGCAAGUGCAACUGGCCCCGGGGUAAGAUGUUGGGCGGAAGCUCCUCCCUCAACUAUAUGCUUUACGUUCGAGGAAACAAACUAGACUACGACAACUGGAGGGAUAUUUACGGAUGUGACGGCUGGGGAUACGACGAUGUUUUACCAUAUUUUGUCAAAUCGGAAGACAAUCAAAAUCCUUUCCUCGCCGGAACCAAAUAUCACGGCAAAGGCGGUUAUUUGUCGGUUGGCGAACCUGCCUUCCGUUCGCCAUUAGGUGCCGCAUUCAUCCAAGGCGGAGUGGAAAUGGGAUACAAAAAUCGGGACUGCAACGGCGAAUUCCAGACUGGUGUUAUGUUUCCACAGGGAACAAUCCGCCGUGGAACUCGUUGUUCCACCUCCAAAGCAUUUUUACAUCCAGCCCGCAAACGAAAGAAUCUUCACAUCUCACUGAAUUCGCGUGUGUUAAAGGUUGUCAUCGAUCCCGUUACGAAAGUGGCUACGGAUGUGCAGUUUGAAAAAGGUGGCCGAAUGUACUUCGUCAGUUCCAAAAAAGAAAUUGUGUUAUCUGCCGGAAGUAUUGCGUCUCCGCAAAUUCUCAUGUUGAGUGGAGUCGGCCCAAAAGAUCAUCUGGAAGAGAAAGGAAUAAGUCCGGUCAUUGCCGAUCUUCCUGUCGGAGAGAACUUGCAUGACCACGUCGGGAUAAUUGGAAUGGUUUUCCUUAUUAACGAACCAUACUCCGUUCUUACCUCUAGACUGCUGUCAUUUCCAGUACUUCUCAAUUACACUAUCUUCGGUGGAACUGCCAUGUCUCUGUUGGGUGGGGUGGAAGGACUUGGUUUUAUCAAUUCGAAAUACGCGAAAGCGGAAGCUGAUUAUCCCGACAUACAGUUGCAUUUCGGUUCGGGUAGUGAAAUAUCUGACGAUGGUAGCUCUUUGCGUUACGCCCAUGGAUUUACGGAUGAAGUUUGGAAUGCAUACUACAAGCCAAUAAUGAAAAAGGAUACUUGGACCAUCUUCCCCUACAAUUUGCGGCCAAAGUCUCGUGGAUACAUUCGUCUCAAUUCCAAAGAUCCUUACGACAAACCCCUCAUUAAUCCAAACUACUUUUCAGAUCCCCUCAAAGAGGAUAUCAAAGUUACUGUCGAGGCUAUUAAGUUCGCCUUAGCUCUCAGCAAAACGGAAGCCUUUCAAAAAAUGGGUUCCAGGUUUUACGACAAACCUUUCCCAGGAUGCGAAGAUAAGGCACUUUGGACGGAUGAUUAUUGGGAGUGUUGGAUCAAGAGCGCUAGUUUCACCUUGGCACAUACAGUUGGCACUUGCAAAAUGGGUUCUGUCUUGGAUGACACGGUCGUCGUCGAUCCUCAACUGAAAGUCAAAGGAAUAAAACACCUCCGAGUUGCUGAUACAUCCGUCAUGCCGGCUGUGCCCAGUGGAAAUACAAACGCACCAACGAUAAUGGUAGGAGAAAAGGCCGCAGACUUGAUAAAAAAUGACUGGUUAUAACGGAGAAGUUGCCUCCUCGAACUUAUAUUUGAAUCACCAAUGAUUAAUUAUUUACUAGCUUCUGAAUUUGUUACAAAAUCAUAAGUCCAAUCAACUAUUAUUUACUUCGAUUUCAAUUGAUACACUUAUUGUGGUAAGGCCUAAACGAAUUAAUUGUUCUCACUUUACAAGGUAGGACGAAAGAAAAACAGAAGAAAAUUUAAACAUUUUUGUAUUGACUUUGACUGAAUUAUCAAUUACGCUUCAUUUAAUAAUUUCUGUUUUUGAGCAGCGGUCAACUUAUUGAUAAGGGAAAUGAAAUUUCGUUUUUCCAUAAGCGGAUGAAUUUAUUCACCAGCAUUGAAUAAAUUUCAAACACGUUAUUGGAGUACCGGUACUGCAUUUCAUGUUUGUUGUUUGUUCUUUCGAAAAAUGACCUGCAAUUAGUAGUAUGGUAUUCUAGCUAGCGGUGAGAAUACAGUACCGGUACUUAAGUUGAUUUUUUAAAUAAUUCAUAAAAUGGUCAUUGCACAUUGUGUUACCGCUAUCAACGAGGAAUUCAAUACCUCAAUCAGUAAUCGAUCCUAAUAGGAAAACAGCGACGGGAGUUCAUCCCGUACUUUUUGCGGCCAAAGUCUCGAGGAAACAUUCGGCUGGCUUCAAGCGAUCCUUACGACAAAGCCCUCAUCAAUCCAAACUAUUUUUCGGAUGCCGACGACUACGAUGUAUAAAAGUGACCGUCGAAUCCGUCUCUAUAUCUAAAUCUCCUAUUUUUAUCUUUUAUAGUAUACCGUUACUAGUUAGGUAACGGUAACCGUAUAGUGAAAACACGGAAAAGACUGCAAGCCAUAAACUUAACGAAUCGCCUAGGAAUAAACCCUGAGGUCAUUUUAUGCGCGCACUUGUAAAAUUAGUCGAGAAUUACCCUAAAGGUGUUUUUGAUCCAUGAAAAACGGCAAAUGG